rnacentral:rRNA from 1 species
UGGGGAAUAUUGCACAAUGGGGGAAACCCUGAUGCAGCGACGCCGCGUGAAGGAAGAAGUAUUUCGGUAUGUAAACUUCUAUCAGCAGGGAAGAAGAUGACGGUACCUGACUAAGAAGCCCCGGCUAACUACGUGCCAGCAGCCGCGGUAAUACGUAGGGGGCAAGCGUUAUCCGGAUUUACUGGGUGUAAAGGGAGCGUAGACGGAGCAGCAAGUCUGAUGUGAAAGACCGGGGCUUAACCCCGGGCCUGCAUUGGAAACUGUUGAUCUUGAGUGCCGGAGGGGUAAGCGGAAUUCCUGGUGUAGCGGUGAAAUGCGUAGAUAUCAGGAGGAACACCGGUGGCGAAGGCGGCUUACUGGACGGCAACUGACGUUGAGGCUCGAAAGCGUGGGGAGCAAACAGG